GAAGCUGACCAGACAGUCGCCGCUUCGUCGUCGUCCUCCUUCGGGGGAGACGGGCGGAGGGGAGGAAAGUCCGGGCUCCAUAGGGCAGGGUGCCAGGUAACGCCUGGGGGGGAAGCCCACGACCAGUGCAACAGAGAGCAAACCGCCGAUGGCCCACGCACGUGGGAUCAGGUAAGGGUGAAAGGGUGCGGUAAGAGCGCACCGCGCGGCUGGUAACAGUCCGUGGCACGGUAAACUCCACUCGGAGCAAGGCCAAAUAGGGGUUCAUAAGGUACGGCCCGUACUGAACCCGGGUAGGCUGCUUGAGCCAGUGAGCGAUUGCUGGCCUAGAUGAAUGACUGUCCACGACAGAACCCGGCUUAUCGGUCAGUUUCACCU
rnacentral:RNase_P_RNA from 2 species